AUACCUUCUCUGGUAUCUCCUCUGUGUGGUGAAGUGAAAAAAGAUGCCAUGCAGCCAUCUCAGGGUGGGGUGUCCUUUGAAGAGGUGGCUGUGUAUUUCACCCAGGCUGAGUGGACCCUGCUGCGUCCAGCCCAGAGAGCUCUGUACAAGGAAGUCAUGCUGGAGAAUUUUGGGAACAUGGCCUCUCUGGCACCUAAGAUUGCCAAACCUGAGCUCAUAUCCUGGCUGGAAGAGGAGGAAG